AAUAGGCUGUUUAGCCCUCUCCUCUCUCUCUCAGGUAAGGGUCAGUAGUUGGUACAUUACAAUAGGCUGUUUAGCCCUCUCCUCUCUCUCUCAGGUAAGGGUCAGUAGUUGGUACAUUACAAUAGGCUGUUUAGCCCUCUCCUCUCUCUCUCAGGUAAGGGUCAGUAGUUGGUACAUUACAAUAGGCUGUUUAGCCCUCUCCUCUCUCUCUCAGGUAAGGGUCAGUAGUUGGUACAUUACAAUAGGCUGUUUAGCCCCCUCCUCUCUCUCUCAGGUAAGGGUCAGUAGUUGGUACAUUACAAUAGGCUGUUUAGCCCCCUCCUCUCUCUCUCAGGUAAGGGUCAGUAGUUGGUACUUUACAAUAGGCUGUUUAGCCCCCUCCUCUCUCUCUCUCAGGUAAGGGUCAGUAGUUGGUACAUUACAA